CCGGGCUCUGCCGCCUCCGGCCCGCCCAGCCCCUGGCAGCGGCGGCGCUUCGCUCACUUCAUUUGUAGCUUCAUGAGGUGAUAAGAAGGCUUAUCAUGAUGCCCGAGGAGCUGAAACCUGCUCUUGCAGGGCUGUGUGAGCCAUGAACAUCAUGAGGGUUGUGAUGAACUUCUGCAUCCUGGCUUGUCCUUCCCUCACCAUUUCUGCUGACAAUCUUUUCCCGGACGUUGACUUUUUAAUAAUAGUCUAUACGAUCUGGAGAACACAGAUUUAAUCUUUGCACUACACUGAGAGGCUAAGAAACAUCUACAUGGCUCUGAAGCUGAAGCCGCAACUGUGCAAGCAGAUACAGACAGGCAACGCUCUAUGUGGUUAAAGAAAAGCACAUGCCAGAGACUCAGGAGCAGCUGGCCCCAAAUUUUGGCCUCAGCACACCAUGUAAAAUUGAACAUAUGUGUGGACUGGGUUUGACUCCCUUCAGAUGCUUCUGAAACACAAUAAUAUCUCACUGGAACUUGAAAAUACUCAUUCUUCAAUCAACCUGAUAAAGUCUUGCCAUCAUAUGGACCUGUCUAGUAAGAACAGAGAGGGCAUCUCACCAAGAAGAGGACACCAACAGAGCACCAUGAAUAAGGAGCUGAAUAAUAAUUUGCUGAUAAUGAAUAAUCAGAAAAAUAAUGCUAAUGUCUCUGCUGCUAACUUUGCUGACUUAGCAAUGACAGUCUUAUCUCUUAAAAAUUCCCAGAGUUAGUAAGCCUGAAGAAAACUAGAAUCAAAAUUCAGAGUUCUAAAAUAACUUUGUUUUGAGGUGGAUAUUUCAAUUUAGCAGACUGCAGGUAUGAUUAUAAAUGGAUUACUCCCAUUUUACUAGUAUUAUGGAAUAAGAACUCCUCAUUUGGACAUUGCCUUAAACAGGCUUUAAAUUCCCUCAUAGUUUAAUAAUUAACCUGAAGUACAAAAGAAAACUCAGAAUUGAAAAUGGGAAAAAAUGCAACAUAGAAGAAACAAGGUUUAUUUCAGUUAGAUUCUGCUUCUAAGAAAUAUAAAUAAAGCUUUGUACCAACAAAAUUAUUUUUUAUUG
rnacentral:lncRNA from 1 species